rnacentral:rRNA from 1 species
AGAACGAACGCUGGCGGCAGGCUUAACACAUGCAAGUCGAGCGCCCCGCAAGGGGGAGCGGCAGACGGGUGAGUAACGCGUGGGAAUCUACCCAGCUCUACGGAAUAACCCAGGGAAACUUGGACUAAUACCGUAUACGUCCGAUAGGAGAAAGAUUUAUCGGAGUUGGAUGAGCCCGCGUUGGAUUAGCUAGUUGGUGGGGUAAUGGCCUACCAAGGCGACGAUCCAUAGCUGGUCUGAGAGGAUGAUCAGCCACAUUGGGACUGAGACACGGCCCAAACUCCUACGGGAGGCAGCAGUGGGGAAUAUUGGACAAUGGGCGAAAGCCUGAUCCAGCCAUGCCGCGUGAGUGAUGAAGGCCCUAGGGUGUAAAGCUCUUUCAACGGUGAAGAUAAUGACGGUAACCGUAGAAGAAGCCCCGGCUAACUUCGCGCCAGCCAGCCGC